AGUGAACGCUGGCGGUAGGCCUAACACAUGCGAGUCGAACGGCAGCACAGUAAGAGCUUGCUCUUACGGGUGGCGAGUGGCGGACGGGUGAGGAAUACAUCGGAAUCUACUUUUUCGUGGGGGAUAACGUAGGGAAACUUACGCUAAUACCGCAUACGACCUACGGGUGAAAGCAGGGGAUCUUCGGACCUUGCGCGAUUGAAUGAGCCGAUGUCGGAUUAGCGAGUUGGCGGGGUAAAGGCCCACCAAGGCGACGAUCCGUAGCUGGUCUGAGAGGAUGAUCAGCCACACUGGAACUGAGACACGGUCCAGACUCCUACGGGAGGCAGCAGUGGGGAAUAUUGGACAAUGGGCGCAAGCCUGAUCCAGCCAUACCGCGUGGGUGAAGAAGGCCUUCGGGUUGUAAAGCCCUUUUGUUGGGAAAGAAAAGCAGCAGGUUAAUACCCCGCUGUUCUGACGGUACCCAAAGAAUAAGCACCGGCUAACUUCGUG
rnacentral:rRNA from 1 species